CCUACGGGGGGCUGCAGUGGGGAAUAUUGGACAAUGGGGGCAACCCUGAUCCAGCCAUGCCGCGUGUGUGAAGAAGGCCCUCGGGUUGUAAAGCACUUUCAGUGAGGAAGAACGCCUGGUGGUUAAUACCCAUCAGGAAAGACAUCACUCACAGAAGAAGCACCGGCUAACUCCGUGCCAGCAGCCGCGGUAAUACAGAGGGUGCGAGCGUUAAUCGGAAUUACUGGGCGUAAAGCGCGCGUAUGUGGCUUGAUAAGCCGGUUGUGAAAGCCCCGGGCUCAACCUGGGAACGGCAUCCGGAACUGUCAAGCUAGAGUGCAGGAGAGGAAGGUAGAAUUCCCGGUGUAGCGGUGAAAUGCGUAGAGAUCGGGAGGAAUACCAGUGGCGAAGGCGGCCUUCUGGACUGACACUGACACUGAGGUGCGAAAGCGUGGGUAGCAAACAGGAUUAGAUACCCCUGUAGUC
rnacentral:rRNA from 1 species